ACGUGAGUAACUGGUUUGUUCUUGUGUGCUGGCUGGUAUAAUUACUUAUUUAUUGCAGAUGAACAAGUCAGCACUUGUCCUCUUGCUUCUCAUCGGACUCAUCGUCCUCACUGAAACCACUCCUACUCAGUGGACUGGUCGUCGCAGAUGGGCAAAGUGGAACCAAAAGAGCAGCAUGCCUAACGAAGUCAUGGAUGCCAUGGAAGAAAGUUAUCUGUACGCACUGCAAUAAGCGUCCAUUGUACAAUGCUUGAAAUCGGAUGAUAUAAAUAAAUAAUACACAAUGCGAGAAUAUUAAA